rnacentral:lncRNA from 1 species
CAUGGUGCUAUGAAAAUUCAAGCGGGCUGAAGUAAAGAUUACUCUAUGUAAAAUUCAUGCUUCAAUGCCUACUCGUAAGACUAUGUCAUAUAUUUUUCUGUGCUUUAGCUGCAGUCACUGUUGACUUGUGUGUACAUUAUAUUGCCUCUUUAGUUAUCUAACAUGCAUAUGCAAUAUAUCUCUCAUCAAUAAAUAUCUAUGUGUGAUUUGCAGGGAAAUAUAUCCGUGCUUGGUAGUUUGAGACUAUUGGUGUCAAGAUCUUGCUCCAAAUGCACAUGAUCGAAUUAGUGUUCUAUACAGAGUAACACUUUUGGGCUUUGGGUAAUCUCUCAAUGGUUUCUAAAUGGUAAUCUUGCCUGACCAUUGGUUUUUUGAGUUCUUUCAAAGAGUAUUCUUCUUGGCUUGCAGGUUGCCGCUAGAGCCGGACAAGAUAAGGCUUGCCUUACCUGGUGACGUACUGGCUAGGAGAGUGCAAGCUGCCGCCCACACGUACCAGAUGGUCCCAUCAAGGACGUUGUCGUACCGACUGCCAAUGAUCUACAGGUAAUCAGUUUUUCCUUAGCUUCUGUUAUUAGUCUUUUUUUCCUAUGAAUCGUUCGACUCGUGGUUGCUUCUACAAAAUAGCUCAUCUUUUAGCUUGAAAUGUUACCAUGAAACUUAUCCCCUUUAUUCACUUAAACAAUUUAUGAUGGUGGUUUGGGUACCAAGCUCAGUUGUUUUUUUAUAAA